CGCUCCGCCCCCCGUGGGCCCGCCCACUCCACGCCCACGGCCGCCCAAACUGCGCCCACGCCCGCCCCGCACCACUCCAUCAACUCGCAGGCCGACAGCGACUCGCCAGCGCUGCAGGAACACGGGGAGAUCGGCGUUGCCGCGCUUCCUGCGCCCGCCCCUCCCGCGGGCCCCACACACAUCAAUUUAUGAAUGUAUUAUAAAUGAUUGUAAAUUGACUAAGGAAAGUUACAGACUCACUUAUUUUUAUCGCGAAUGUAUUAUUUACUAACAAAACGAAAAUAUAUAUAAAAUCGACUUUGUAA